rnacentral:lncRNA from 1 species
AUUUAGCCUUCAUUUGGUAAGAAUUUAUAAAUAGAUAAAAAUGAAUGAUGUAUAAGUGAACAGUAGAUGUAUAUUUAUUUAUAAGUAGUUUGCUAAUUAUAAAAUGAUUUUUAAGUUUUUUUCUUCUACCAUUCCAAUUUCCAACCUAAACUCUCAUUAUCCCUAAAACGUGGUAUUGAUCAAAAAAAUUUUGAAAGACGACAAACAUUUACAGUAUUAUAAAUGUUUGGUAAUAUGUCCGCCUGUAUGAAAAGAUUUGGAAACUUCCAGAAAACACAGGUCAAAUCUGUAUAAUAAACAUCUGCCAAAUUGUUACCUCAAGUUCAGUUUUAUCUUCCAAUAGGGAGAGAGAGAGAGAGAUGAUAAAGUUUGGUAUGAUGGUGGAAUUAUUGGAAGAAUACAUUUUGGUAAUGGCAAGAAUGAGAGAUGAAUUGCUUGCUUCAAGGCGAAUGUUUUUUCAGUUUCUGAGAACUCUUCCUUCUGCUUCAACUUCAUCCUCCAUUGAAGAUUCUUCUUCAUUUCUUGUCUAUUUCUAGUACACGUUUCCUUCGUAAAUCUCUCGUUUGGUCAUGCUUAAAAGCAACUUUUCUAUAAAUGAUUCCGAGAAAAGUCACUUAAAAGCUGCUUUUAAGAUUGCAAUAGAUGUUGUGUAAUUUCAGAUUGUUUUGUUUCUUUCCUUCAAUUUGAUUCAAUUGGGGAGACAAAAGGAAAACUUACCUUUUCUUGUAUACGUUUUGAAGAUUCAAUUUUCAACCAUUUGUUGGUUCAGAUGAUUGAAUUUAAUUCAAUAAAUUUUGUUUUAUAUUUUUAUGUUGUAAUAAUAUUAUGGGAGUAUUUGAGCCACAUUAUUUUGGUAAUAAUGCAUUCUUGAAUAGUGUAUUGAUGAGAAAUAUGUUGCUAAAAAAUAAAGAAUAUUUUUUGAUUUGCGUGUAAUAUUAUUUUAUUGAAAAAUGUGUGAUUGAAAUGAUGUCAAAUCACUGUUUAAGAAUACAUUUUUUUGAAAUAAUGUGGCUCAACAAGCCCUAUGAGAGGGAUGGACGAGUAUUUCCAACAAUGCUGCAAAUAUGGUGUUUUAGGGCCUGUUUCGCAAAAUUUCUGCUUUUUCUUCUUGUAGAAGAGAAGGUCUUCUAGCGAGACAAUUCUUUCUAGAAAUUAUUCAAUCAUGUUCAAAAUAGCAAUCAAAAGCUCUACCAAAUGUAGCGUUAAUAUACUACUAGGAAGAGUCCCCCAGGGCACAUCCAAGUUGGCGGAACAAUCACAUUGGGGGGCUCUGGAACCAAGCGUGGGGAGUUCGAUUCCUGGUUGGAGCAGCUGAGUGUUGUAAUAGCCAGAGGAAGGGUUAGAGCAGUUUGGUGAUGUAAUAACCAUGGAGGAGGCUCCCUUUGGGGAAGAAGUAAAAGCCAUGUGGGAACCUGGGAACCAACAAGGGCACAACCUGCGAUUUACCUCCCUGAGCAGCUGAGAGGCCGGAGGUUCGGGGACGAGGAUAUAGUCUGGCGCAAGUUGGGACACCUCGUUAAAAAAAAAAAAAAUACUACUAGGAAGUGUAGUGUAGUAUUUGUUUUAAUAUAGUGUUGAUCAAAUUUUGUCAUAUGGUUUAGUAAGAAAUUUAUUCCGGGGUAUCUUAGAUUUCCAUUAUCGACUCAAAUAUAAUUUUAGUAAAACACGUUAGAAAGGAGAAAAUUAUAUCAAAAUUAAAAGAACAAAGAAUGCAAUGUUGAUUCUCUCCGAAUGCUCAAAUAAC